rnacentral:rRNA from 1 species
CAGUCGCCGCGGGAAUACGUAGGUCCCGAGCGUUGUCCGGAUUUAUUGGGCGUAAAGCGUGUGUAGGUGGUUGUUUAAGUCUGUCGUGAAAGCUCUGGGCUCAACCUGGGAAUUGCGAUGGAUACUGGGCGACUAGAGUGCGGUAGAGGAUAGUGGAAUUUCCGGUGUAGCAGUGAAAUGCGUAGAGAUCGGAAGGAACAUCUGUGGCGAAGGCGACUAUCUGGGCCAACACUGACACUGAGACACGAAAGCGUGGGGAGCAAACAGGAUUAGAUACCCGAGUAGUCCCUGUCUCUUAUAA